rnacentral:rRNA from 1 species
GACGAACGCUGGCGGCGCGCUUAACACAUGCAAGUCGAGCGGUAAGGCCUCUUCGGGGGUACACGAGCGGCGAACGGGUGAGUAACACGUGGGUGACCUGCCCUCAGCUCUGGGAUAAGCCUGGGAAACUGGGUCUAAUACCGGAUAUGACCUUUCCUCGCAUGGGGUUUGGUGGAAAGUUUUUUCGGCUGGGGAUGGGCCCGCGGCCUAUCAGCUUGUUGGUGGGGUGAUGGCCUACCAAGGCGACGACGGGUAGCCGGCCUGAGAGGGCGACCGGCCACACUGGGACUGAGACACGGCCCAGACUCCUACGGGAGGCAGCAGUGGGGAAUAUUGCGCAAUGGGCGGAAGCCUGACGCAGCGACGCCGCGUGGGGGAUGACGGCCUUCGGGUUGUAAACCUCUUUCGACCCCGACGAAUUUGGACGGUAGGGGUAGAAGAAGCACCGGCCAACUACGU